GACGAACGCUGGCGGCACGCCUAACACAUGCAAGUCGAACGGACUUACAAGAGCUUGCUUUUUUAAGUUAGUGGCGGACGGGUGAGUAACACGUGAGCAACCUGCCUCUGAGAGGGGGAUAGCUUCUGGAAACGGAUGGUAAUACCCCAUAAAAUAUAAAUAUCGCAUGAUAGCUAUAUCAAAGAAAUUCGCUCAGAGAUGGGCUCGCGUCUGAUUAGAUAGUUGGUGAGGUAACGGCUCACCAAGCCGACGAUCAGUAGCCGGGCUGAGAGGUUGAACGGCCACAUUGGGACUGAGGCACGGCCCAGACUCCUACGGGAGGCAGCAGUGGGGAAUAUUGCACAAUGGAGGGAACUCUGAUGCAGCGAUGCCGCGUGGAGGAAGAAGGUUUUCGGAUUGUAAACUCCUUUUAUCAGGGACGAUAAUGACGGUACCUGAAGAAAAAGCUCCGGCUAACUACGUG
rnacentral:rRNA from 1 species